rnacentral:rRNA from 1 species
UACGUAGGGGCCAAGCGUUGUCCGGAUUUAUUGGGCGUAAAGAGCUCGUAGGCGGUUGGGUAAGUCGGGUGUGAAAACUCCAGGCUCAACUUGGAGAUGCCACCCGAUACUGCUCUGACUUGAGUUCGGUAGGGGAGUGGGGAAUUCCUGGUGUAGCGGUGAAAUGCGCAGAUAUCAGGAGGAACACCGGUGGCGAAGGCGGGUCUCUGGGCCGAUACUGACGCUGAGGAGCGAAAGCGUGGGGAGCGAACAGG